rnacentral:lncRNA from 7 species
CCUUCCCCCCGCUGCCAAGCUGCAUCAAACAGCUCUCAGGUUUCUGCUGAUACUGCAGCGUCAAGACAUGGCUCGAGUUUGCUCCUCUCUCUUACAUAUUCAGCAGUCCAUUUGCUCCUGCCACAUGCAUCCAUCUCCUGCCUCCCGCUGCUGCUGCCGUUGGGACGAGCCAAGAGCCACUCCGGAGAUGCGGUUGUGGGACUGCGGCUCUCUCACGUCUCUCCAGCCGAUGCUGCUCAGCGCCCGGCUCCUUCUCCAGAUGUUUUAAAGGAAGAGAUCAGGAGAACCAGAAGAUACUUAGGACAGCCUCUUUUUAUUUAUUAAUUCAAGCCUUCGGAAAAAGACACUUUGCGCUCUCUUCCACCCACCGACUCCCUCACUGCAGCCUGAGUGUAUGAAUAUUUAAGUGUCCAGGCAGUCCUGUACAGUGAUCGCUAUAUUAUUAAGAGGGGUGCAAGAGGAGGAGGAGGAGGGUUGAGUUUGCCACUGCGGUUUUUGUUUUGCUCAGAUUCUUUUGGAUGGUGCUGCAAGACAGCUUGUCGCAUUCUGGCACUGGCUCCUAACCAGCGCAUCUCACACAGAGCAGUUGCAUUUAGCUGCUGCAAAGCAGAGGGGACAUGCUUCACUCCUUCUCCCCAUAUCCCUUCAAACUGUGUGAUGAAGUUGUCAGUGCUCAGCUAAGUCUCCACCAUCUGCAAAGUGGGAUGCAUGGUGGUCAGGAAACUUACAGCAGGAGCUGAUCCCAGUGAAGCUGCAUGGAUCUCAAUGCAGAAAAUCCAGGAAGUAAGUUAUGUGAAGAUGAGAACAUCUAGACUGAACACAUGGAUUAAAUAAGCAGUCAGCCAGCAAAUCUGUUCCCUAUGAGUAUUUUGUCUUCAGCGUGAAUGACAAACAGGACUGAUAUGGGAACUGCACACAUAAGCAUAAUUCCAACCUUUUAGCAAAGGCCAGAUCCCAAAAUAUUUAAAUGUCUCCUUUGAAGUGGUAGAGUUGGUUUCCUCCGUCUGUAAUUCUUCAUAUUGACUACACCCCCUCAUUUGCUUCACCUCCUGGUAGGACUCAGAAAUUGGAAGAGGUUCCACAAGGUGGUAAAUUAUACAUUCUUGGAAGUACUCGAAACUCAUCUAGAAAAGCUGAGCAACCCAAUCUACGUUUUGAUUAGGCCCUGAUUAGAACAGAUGUUUACACUACAUGCAUCCAUGAAGUGCCUUCUGUAGUCUAUGCUUCCUAAUAUCAACAUGCUGUAUAUCAUGUCAUGAAUGUGCCUGUAUGGUGGCUGCAAGCUUGGAUUGUCUUACAGCUCUGUUUUGGAACUUCUGUGCAUGUUUAUUUGGCCAGAAUUACACAACUCAAAAGAAAGCUUGGGGAUCUAUUCACGUAUGUCAGGAUCCACAGACUAAGUUGUAUUUAAAUUGUUUUCUGAUUGUUGCUUCCUUAUCUGCUUCCCGUGUUGAAUCAUUCUGCUUUGUAUGUUAUGCAUGAAUAAAGCAUGAUGUAUGU